CCCUCGCAUUCAUUCGCAUGGAGUUCUAUCCAGCAUCUGGUUCGGAUGAAUAGAGGAUUUCAGGCUUCGCCCUGUAGGGAAUCGCGGUAAUAAGGCAGUAUGAAGUUGCCUCAAUGGUGAUCAUGGGGUUGACACCAACAGCACUGGGCAAAACACUGGCAUCACAAACGUACAGACCUUCUGCCUCCCAGGUCUCCCCAUUCUCAUCUACUGCCCCUUCCUGUUCUGUGAUUCCCAUCCUGCAACUUCCCAUUUGAUGGGCUGAACAGUAAGUCAUCCAGUUCUUCACCAUUGAUUUGGGCCCUGAAGCUGCAUCAACAGUGUCUAGAAACUCCUCCAGUUCCUUCUCUUUAAUCCCCUUACAUUUGAUUCUCUGCCCAUCACUUUGUUGGGUCCCUACCUCAGUAGCCCCUGCGGCUACUAAGAUCCUCAAUGCUUGCCUUAACCCAGCCCUUAUAUUUUCUCUAUCCAAUGGAGCAAAAUUGUAACUUACCCUUCCCUUGCUCCUUAUUUCUCCAGAGCCUUCAUCUCUGAUCAUCGAAAUUAACUGCGCUGUCCUGGAGUACUUGAGGAGUCUGUUCUUCAUCUCAAUUCCAGAUUCCCACGGGCAUAAUGCAGCAAACUGCCCAGGAGCCAGUGAUGGAGUUUCCAAAAGAGCUCUAAUGUUAUAAUCCUCAGACAUCACCUUAUGCAGUGAAGUGAUUAUCCCACCCUCAUACUUUUUCCCUUUGAUUUCUGAGCUAGAUUCUGGAAAGUAUCCCCAUGCCAUUAAAACUGGGUGUAGAUGAAGGUUCCGCCCUAUGUGUGGGUUUCUUAACCCACUAGAGAGAAGCAAAGGUGGCGUAAGAAGAGAGCCACAAGCUGAGAUUGUUGCUUUUGCUUCAACUUGUAUUCUCAUUCUCAUGUUUGGGCUGACCAUAUUUGCAAUAACUCCCGAGCAUUUUUUUUGUCUUCUGACUAUUCCAUCCGUUUCGUUUAACAAGAAUCUCUCAGCUUCACAUCCAGUUAUGAUCACUGCACCAUGGUCUACAGCAUCGACAAGCCAAGUGGUAUUUGUGCCCUUUUUGUCUGCUGUUUUGCAGCCUAAACCGCAAGAACCGCAGUAAUGGUGCUCCGACGAGUUUCGUGGCACAGCCUCUACGUUAAGUCCAAGAUUCUCACAUCCCUUACGAAGGACUUGAUUCUGGAAACCUUCUUGUGAGCAUUUUUCUGUGACGCCAAUUCUCUCGCAUACUUUAUCCAUAGCAAAAAGAUAUUGAGGGUUACCAAAUAGAGGGAUCUUGUUAUUCUCUGACCAUUCUUGAAGCACAGACUUCGGUGUCUUGAUGGAGGCUGACCAAUUCACAGCAGAACCCCCACCAACAGUUGAUCCUGCCAUAAUCAUGAUCUUGCCAUCAAUAGUGGAGAAGAGGCCUCCUUGCUCAUAUAAUUCAUUGAUGGAUGGUCCUUCUAGUAAUGAGUAAUCAUGUUGGCCAAAGUAGUUCCCUUUCUCAAGAACUACCACUUUCAAGCCAGAACUUGCUAGGACUCCGGCUGCAACACCUCCACCACAACCAGAGCCUACUAUUACAACAUCACAUUUGAUUUUGUAGAGUCUCUCCUUAGUAUCUUGAAUGACUUCAAGGCCUUUCUGGGUAAGGCACUGGAUUAAUGUCUCCUCAUUCUCGUACUUAGUUUCUAUUAUUCCUUUCUGUAGAGGUCUCUCUUUUUUAUCUUCAGACAACUUCUCAGCCCUACUGUCUGCCUUGUAACCCAUAGCUUCCCAUGCUGGAUUUUUUGAAUUCUCACCUCCCUGCAUAAGCAAAUGAUAGAACUUGAAUAUAAAAGACUAGUAUUUGAAUAUACUAUGCAUGAAGCUCUGAAUAUCUGUCUGAUUUUUAUUUUUCACUUCAUCAUUUGAUUUGCAAUCCUACCGUGGUCAAUUGUCAAUGAUUAGGUAACAAGUUUAGUGAAGUCAAUCAUGUUUUACCCCUAGCUUCUAAACUCAAUUAAUUAUGAUUAGGACAAUAGACAAUUUUCAUAUUGGGAGGUUUGGUAGGUUAGUUAUUGAAGACACAAUUUCCUUUUUUUUUGUAGAACAGGGAAUAUCCUAAUGAAGUUGUUAAUUGUUACGAAGCUGAUAAAUGACAAACUAUAAUGUUAAUCUACAUGACCCACCAUUAUGGUGUAGUUGGCAUAAUUAACUUAUAUAUGCAUAAUUAACUACUUGUGAUUAACAUUGGUUACUGCAACCAUCAAUCUGUAUGUUUAUUUUUUAUGCCAACAAAGAAUCUACCCGUUUUUUUUUUUAAAAAAAAAAUAAACAUGUUAAUUUUCUUAAGACGACUACAUAGGAUAAGGCUAUAUAUAUGAGCAUUUGUUAAUUUGUAUGCAACUUAGAGAUAUUUUUGCAUAUAAACCUCCUGCAGUCAUUUAUGAUUUUGAUUGAAGCAUAUGCAUACAUGAAAACUUGCUAGGAAUGAAACCAAUUAAGGAGCUUUAAUUUACCUGGGAGAAGAAGGUAUAAAGGCAGAGGGAUUUGAUGAGCACAAAUCCAAGCCUGAUGGGUGUUAAGAACCAGUGCUUCAUCCAUGUCUGAACAACUCUCUCUCGCUUAUCCAGAGGCAUUUCCUGAAACCUAGAGAUAAAUGGCCAGUCGCCUUUAAAAGUAAGCCGGCCACAAAGCAGUAGUGAUCCUAGCCUCGUGGAAAGUGCCAUUAAAACCACCCGCACAAUGAUCAAGGAUUCAAGGACACCCAGUUUGGUAAUCUGUUCUGCCACCUGUAAGUUACUUGUAGAGUUAAAGACGCAUGCACAUAUAGUAAUUAAUAGUUAAUUAGAGAGUGGGAGAGAUUUUAUAUCUUAAGCACCUGAUCAGGGACAUGAUUCUGAGAGCCAGAAGCCUUGUGAAAGUCGAUAAUGGGGAUGUCUGAUAUUGGUUCUUCUUUUUCUUCUUCUUCUUCCCGAUGAGGAACAUCCAGAGAAUUCAUGGGUACAGAAGGUAAGAUAGUAUCACAUAAGCUAGCUAAUGCUUCCAUCUCACCUGAAGAGAAGCCAUGUUUGUACUUUUCUUCUCCUUUUCUCCUUCCACCCCUCAACAAAGAAUGACACUCAUCCACCAUCUUCUUCUUCCUAAUAAUUAUAGCUGAGUUAGAUUAAUGAUAUAUGAUGGUGUCCACUACUAGACUAUUUAUAUGAAACUCAGCUGUCUAAGUGGAUGCAAAAUAAUAUUAUCUUAACCAAAAGGUCAUUACUAUAUUACUUAAAGGCAUGUUUUGCCACUUGAAUGACAUCAUCAAGAUUGUCCCA